rnacentral:SRP_RNA from 2 species
GCCGGGUGUGGUGGCGCACACCUGUACUCCCAGCUACUCGGGAGGUUGAGACGGGAGAAUUGCUUGAAUCCGGGAGGCAGAGGUUGCAGUGAGCUGAGAUAGCACCACUGCACUACAGCCUGGGUGACAGAGCAAGACCCUGUCUCAA